UAGGGAAUCAUCCACAAUGGGCGAAAGCCUGAUGGAGCAACGCCGCGUGUGUGAUGAAGGCUUUCGGGUCGUAAAGCACUGUUGUAUGGGAAGAACAGCUAGAAUAGGAAAUGAUUUUAGUUUGACGGUACCAUACCAGAAAGGGACGGCUAAAUACGUGCCAC
rnacentral:rRNA from 1 species